rnacentral:lncRNA from 1 species
AUUCAAAAACACCUUCCUUCUUUUCUUUCUUUCUCUCUCUCUCUCUUUUUAAAAAAAGAUUUUAUUUUUAAGUAAUCUCCACAUCCAAUGUGGGGCUUGAACUCACAACCCUGAGAUCAAGAGUCACACGCUCCUCCAACUGAGCCAGCCAGGCACCCGCCAAACACCUUCCUUUCAAUUCUGCCAGAAGCCCGUGCUGUGAUCCACUGGGCGUCAGACCUCUUCGCAGCAUUUCCGCACCGGGGCAGGGCUUGCUCGCUCUCAGGAUCAUUUCAUUUGUGCCCCCAUCCAGGCUCUUGCUGCCCUCACUUCUUUUGCACAGACUCUCCACCUGACCUUCUCUACUCUGUGGGGUCCAGACCUUGUUCUGCUGCUUUCAGAGGAACCCUGGACAUCCCUCACCUGCUGCCUUCCGCCCCGGGUCAGCCCCGGGUCAGCCCUCUGGACUUGGUGGGGCAUCAGAAAAGGCC